GAAGACCAGCUAAUGAAGAAGGAGCCCUGAUAAUUAAUAUUGCCCUUUGUUCUCACACAAUUUAAAACUGACAACAACUUGCCAACAACCAAAAAAAUCACAACUAAACCCACUCCAAGCCCCAAAGGCAAUUACUUGAAAUGUAUUCAUUUGUUACUAUAUUACAAAAUUUACUAGUGUGUUUAUUACACAAAAAGAAACUUAAGCAUUUCUGAAUCUAGCAUGACUUUUUUUAACCUCCUUUCACAUAAACGCCUUUCAUAAAGCAGUUGUUGCCAAGCAGCUUAAAUCCUGUUCUCUAACAAGAAACAAUUGUAUUUUAAUAACUUCAAAACUACCUCAAUCUACAGGAAACAUAAGGAAACCCUGCUAAUCUGUAUAGUUAAGAAUUUAAACAGAACAUGAUUAGCAGAAGGGUUGGCUCUAAUCUUCCUGCCCUGAAGACUGCAGAAUAACCCCACAACCCACACUUCAGUCCCUGCUCAACCCCAGAACUGCUUCAGUUUGCAUCCAGGAAUAACCUGCACUUCCAGAACUCACCGUGUCAGGCAACUACUAGAAUUGUGUUAUUUAACAAACACAACCCUGCUCCCACUAACCAACCCUGACUUAUUUUUGAAAUUACACACCCUCCAUUUAGUUUUCACUUCUUGUCCCAAUACCUACAAUUUAGAAAAUUAAUUUUUUCCAGCUGCUUUCUACUGGUGUUCAAAUUUCAAAAGCAAGGAGGGGUUUAUGUGACUUGCAGGGCCCAGAACCAGGGUCUCCCUGUUGAAAGCUGGUUUGCUUUCAAGUGGGAGUAUUACAAGUAAAAGGGAUAGGCUACCUGUCAAGAGGGUUAAGAUGAAAUGCAUCCCUCUAACUCAUGAGUGCCGGGGCCUAUUGAACAAACUAAACUUGUCUGUGAAUAUAGCAGUGCCCUGAAUAAUCAAAUCCCACUUUACUUCAUGUAUGGAGAAUGCCUCCUUGGAGUUCAAGAACUAUUCUGUUACUAGUUAAAACGUAAAAUUUCUCAUUAAAAGAACAAGCUCCAGCCCAGAAACUUCUCUGUGCAUCAAACCAAUGCUGCCUGUCACAAGUAUCACAGAGAUCAUCAGAGCUGUUCCUAUGGACAUAGUGAACAGCUGGGGUGCUUGGCUCAAGUGUGGGAUAUGGGAACACUUCAUUUCGAAUAGCCAUGUAGGAUUUCCACACGUUUUCUGAGGCUCACUGCCUGGGAAUCGGGAAAACCUGAAAAAGGCUCAGAAACACAGUUAUGACCAUCUCAUUUUUUUUAAAAAGCUUUAAGGCAUUUUAAAGUAAUAGCUGCAAAAUACAGAGCUAACACAGCAUAUGGAAGAGAGGGAUGUGAUAAAAAAAGAUAUUUGAUCUGCACUCAGUGCUAUGGUGAGUAAAGAAAAGUUUCGUACCUGUCUUCAGAUGUCUCUAAAGAUGGACCUUUUUUCUUUUUAUAGCUAUGUCAUACAAACCUUCAUGUGAACUUUGUCACUAAAUAUAUCUUUAUGCUACUGAAUUCACUGUUUCCAAUAGUGGAGUAAACACCUAGAAGGAUAGAUGAAGGACAGAGCUUGCCCCCGACAGCGAGCAUGAGCUGCUCCUGACACCCGCACACAUCCCUGGACUUCCAGCUCCCAGCCUCCCUGAACGAGGACAAACAGCUUUGCAGGGGUGUUUUGGUGCUGUCCUGGCUGGGUGAGCAUCAGCUUGGCCCAACACACUGCCUCCAUUGCCCGGCAACACUUCAGAACAGCCUUGCCAACCCUCCCAAACCUCCAAGGUUUAGCUCCUUUGAUCUGUUUUAAAACACAUCAUGAGGACAGACUGAAGUGUGACAAUUAGACUGCAUCAAAACCCAUACAAUUGGAAGCACCAGUGAUAAGCCUUUUGGAUGAAGGAUUCCUUCUGACAGGAGUAUGGGAGACCUAAAUGCUCUAUGGCUGUCAGGCCUGGGGAGAAACCCAAAACCUUAGACUGGCCACACUCCAAAUAUGUGAGCUUAUGAUUUUGCCAUGUACAAACAGGUUCUUAAAGGGACAAGCAAGAUGAAAAUACUCAGCAGGAACUUAAUUUCAAUCUCAAGAGCACAUAAAGUCCCUGCUUGUAUCAGUAAACAACUGCCAUCUCCCAAUAAUAAGAUAAGCAACAAGCCAUUUCAGCACCUGCUCCCGGUGCAGAAGAAAACAAUGAUGGCCAAGUGCCGUCAGACUUUUCCUUCCUCAGUGGCUCAGCCCCAGCAGAGCAGAGCAGUGCUGCGGGGCCAGCACGUGCUGGGCAGCACAGGCCACCCUGGCCUCGCCACGGUGCUACAGGCCAGGAGAACUGGAGCAACUGGACAGUUUUUUUUCUGAAGGAAGCUGAGGAGCAAGAGGGGUUCCCGAUGGAGGAACAGGUGCUACCCCUCCCUGCCAAGGUGGCAGCACCCUCUGCCUUUGGACAUAUCACGUCACCUUCCACUUCUAAGAGAGGAAGAUGAGCAGCAAGACAGCAAUAUUUAUAAAAGGCAGAACUGGGAAAGAAAAGUGCCGAGAAGACCACAGAACAAUCCAUUUGAGUCAGGCUGCUAGGAACAGCCUGCCAAGCACUGCCAUCCCCAGCUCUGGUGCUUUCAACCACAGCACUGGACUGUCAAAUGAAGUACCACAGC